UUGCAACUGAGUUCCUUAGAGGCGUGGCGCACAAGGAGGAUGAGGAACUGGAAGAAGAGGAACAUCAGCAGCUGUACGAGGAGGAGGAAGAUGAGGAACAAGACCCAGUGUUUGUUCUGACUGAUGAAUGGAGGGAAUUCUUUGCAAAGUCUGAAGCUAAGAGAAGACUAGCCAAGAAGCAAUCUAGAAAAGAGGGGAAGAAUCGGAUGGAACAAUGAUCAGCAACCAAGAAAUCAUCAGUAGGAGAGCGCUCAAUUUCCGGAGUUGCUAGGUGAUUUUAAGGUCAGGAGUUGGUCGAUGCGUGAUCAAGAUUUCCCCUUUACUUGCUUGUAGCACCACAUUCAUCUUGUUUGUAGAGUAAAAAGUGUUUUGAGUUGUUGACUUGAGGUCCCUCUGUUUUUGAAACAGUUAUUUUGUCCUUCGUUUCCGAGGCUUGGGCAGGGGCGGGGGACUUUUGUAUGAUCAAACAAUAAUGCACCAGUUCAUUUGUUUUGGAACAAUGAUGAAUUCUUCAAUAAAA